rnacentral:snRNA from 1 species
AUACCUUUCUCGGCCUUUUGGCUAAGAUCAAGUGUAGUAUCUGUUCUUAUCAGUUUAAUAUCUGAUAUGUGGACCAAUGGUCCACACGAUAUUAAAUUAAUUUUUUGAGGGGAAGAGUCCAUUACGGUAGCUUGCUGCUGGGGCUCUCGAGUGUCGCCUUGGUGUUGCACUGCUGCCUGGGCCGGGCAUACCCCAC